rnacentral:rRNA from 1 species
ACGGGAGGCAGCAGUGGGGAAUAUUGCACAGUGGGCGAAAGCCUGAUGCAGCGACGCCGCGUGAACGAAGAAGUAUUUCGGUAUGUAAAGUUCUAUCAGCAGGGAAGAUAAUGACGGUACCUGACUAAGAAGCACCGGCUAAAUACGUGCCAGCAGCCGCGGUAAUACGUAUGGUGCAAGCGUUAUCCGGAUUUACUGGGUGUAAAGGGAGCGCAGGCGGUCAUGCAAGUCUGAUGUGUAAUCCCGGGGCUCAACCCCGGAACUGCAUUGGAAACUGUGUGACUAGAGUGUCGGAGGGGUAAGUGGAAUUCCUAGUGUAGCGGUGAAAUGCGUAGGUAUUAGGAGGAACACCAGUGGCGAAGGCGGCUUACUGGACGAUAACUGACGCUGAGGCUCGAAAGCGUGGGGAGCAAACAGGAUUAGAUACCCUGGUA